rnacentral:tRNA from 1 species
GGGUAUAUAGCUCAGUGGUAGAGUGCAUGCUUAGUAUGUACAAGGUCCUGGGUCCAAUUCCCAGCAUCUCCA